UACGGGGGGGGCAAGCGUUGUCCGGAAUCAUUGGGCGUAAAGCGCGUGUAGGCGGCCCGGUAAGUCCGCUGUGAAAGUCGGGGGCUCAACCCUCGGAUGCCGGUGGAUACUGUCAGGCUCGAGUACGGAAGAGGCGAGUGGAAUUCCUGGUGUAGCGGUGAAAUGCGCAGAUAUCAGGAGGAACACCAAUUGCGAAGGCAGCUCGCUGGGACGUGACUGACGCUGAGACGCGAAAGCGUGGGGAGCAAACAGG
rnacentral:rRNA from 1 species